rnacentral:rRNA from 1 species
GAUGAACGCUGGCGGCGUGCCUAAUACAUGCAAGUCGAGCGAACGGACGAGAAGCUUGCUUCUCUGAUGUUAGCGGCGGACGGGUGAGUAACACGUGGAUAACCUACCUAUAAGACUGGGAUAACUUCGGGAAACCGUAGCUAAUACCGGAUAAUAUUUUGAACCGCAUGGUUCAAAAGUGAAAGACGGUCUUGCUGUCACUUAUAGAUGGAUCCGCGCUGCAUUAGCUAGUUGGUAAGGUAACGGCUUACGAAGGCAACGAUGCAUAGCCGACCUGAGAGGGUGAUCGGCCACACUGGAACGGAGACACGGUCCAGAGUCCUACGGGAGGCAGCAGUAGGGAAUCUUCCGCAAUGGGCGGAAGCCUGACGGAGCAACGCCGCGUGAGUGAUGAAGGUCUUCGGAUCGUAAAACUCUGUUAUUAGGGAAGAACAGAUGUGUAAGUAACUGUGCACAUCUUGACGGUACCUAAUCAGAAAGCCACGGCUAACUACGUG